rnacentral:tmRNA from 2 species
GGGGCUGAUUCUGGAUUCGACGGGAUUUGCGAAACCCAAGGUGCAUGCCGAGGGGCGGUUGGCCUCGUAAAAAGCCGCAAAAAAUAGUCGCAAACGACGAAAACUACGCUUUAGCAGCUUAAUAACCUGCUUAGAGCCCUCUCUCCCUGGCCUCCGCUCUUAGGACGGGGAUCAAGAGAGGUCAAACCCAAAAGAGAUCGCGUGGAAGCCCUGCCUGGGGUUGAAGCGUUAAAACUUAAUCAGGCUAGUUUGUUAGUGGCGUGUCCGUCCGCAGCUGGCAAGCGAAUGUAAAGACUGACUAAGCAUGUAGUACCGAGGAUGUAGGAAUUUCGGACGCGGGUUCAACUCCCGCCAGCUCCACCA